rnacentral:rRNA from 1 species
UGGGGAAUUUUGGACAAUGGGCGCAAGCCUGAUCCAGCAAUGCCGCGUGCAGGAUGAAGGCCUUCGGGUUGUAAACUGCUUUUGUACGGAGCGAAAAGGUCUGCCCUAAUACGGUGGGCUCAUGACGGUACCGUAAGAAUAAGCACCGGCCAACUACGUGCCAGCAGCCGCGGUAAUACGUAGGGUGCGAGCGUUAAUCGGAAUUACUGUGCGUAAAGCGUGCGCGGGCGGUUAUAUAAGACAGAGGUGAAAUCCCCGGGCUCAACCUGGGACCUGCAUUUGUGACUGUAUAGCUGGAGUACGGUAGAGGGGGGUGGAAUUCCGGGUGUAGCGGUGAAAUGCGUAGAUAUGCGGAGGAACACCGAUGGCGAAGGCGAUCCCCUGGACCUGUACUGACGCUCAGGCACGAAAGCGUGGGGAGCAAACA